UACGGAGGAUGCGAGCGUUAUCCGGAUUUAUUGGGUUUAAAGGGUGCGUAGGCGGACUGUCAAGUCAGCGGUAAAAUUGAGAGGCUCAACCUCUUCCCGCCGUUGAAACUGGUGGUCUUGAGUGGAUGAGAAGUACGCGGAAUGCGUGGUGUAGCGGUGAAAUGCAUAGAUAUCACGCAGAACUCCGAUUGCGAAGGCAGCGUACCGGCAUCCAACUGACGCUGAGGCACGAAAGCGUGGGGAUCGAACAGG
rnacentral:rRNA from 1 species